rnacentral:rRNA from 1 species
CUCCGGUUGAUCCCGCCGGACCCGACUGCUAUCAGAGUGGGACUAAGCCAUGCGAGUCAACAUAGCAAUAUGUGGCAUACGGCUCAGUAACACGUAGUCAACAUGCCCAGGGGACGUGGAUAACCUCGGGAAACUGGGGAUAAACCGCGAUAGGUCAUCACUUCUGGAAUGGGUAAUGACUUAAAUCUAUAUGGCCCCUGGAUUGGACUGCGGCCGAUCAGGCUGUUGGUGAGGUAAUGGCCCACCAAACCUGUAACCGGUACGGGCUCUGAGAGGAGGAGCCCGGAGAUGGGCACUGAGACAAGGGCCCAGGCCCUAUGGGGCGCAGCAGGCGCGAAACCUCUGCAAUAGGCGAAAGCUUGACAGGGUUACUCUGAGUGAUUUCCGUUAAGGAGAUCUUUUGGCACCUCUAAAAAUGGUGCAGAAUAAGGGGUGGGCAAGUCUGGUGUCAGCCGCCGCGGUAAUACCAGCACCCCGAGUGGUCGGGACGUUUAUUGGGCCUAAAGCAUCCGUAGCCGGUUCUACAAGUCUUCCGUUAAAUCCACCUGCUUAACAGAUGGGCUGCGGAAGAUACUAUAGAGCUAGGAGGCGGGAGAGGCAAGCGGUACUCGAUGGGUAGGGGUAAAAUCCGUUGAUCCAUUGAAGACCACCAGUGGCGAAGGCGGCUUGCCAGAACGCGCUCGACGGUGAGGGAUGAAAGCUGGGGGAGCAAACCGGAUUAGAUACCCGGGUAGUCCCAGCUGUAAACGAUGCAGACUCGGUGAUGAGUUGGCUUAUUGCUAACUCAGUGCCGCAGGGAAGCCGUUAAGUUUGCCGCCUGGGGAGUACGGUCGCAAGACUGAAACUUAAAGGAAUUGGCGGGGGAGCA